CAAGUCGAACGGCAGCACGGGGGCAACCCUGGUGGCGAGUGGCGAACGGGUGAGUAAUACAUCGGAACGUGUCCUGUAGUGGGGGAUAGCCCGGCGAAAGCCGGAUUAAUACCGCAUACGAUCUGUGGAUGAAAGCGGGGGAUCCUUCGGGACCUCGCGCUACAGGGGCGGCCGAUGGCAGAUUAGCUAGUUGGUGGGGUAAAGGCCUACCAAGGCGACGAUCUGUAGCUGGUCUGAGAGGACGACCAGCCACACUGGGACUGAGACACGGCCCAGACCCCUACGGGAGGCAGCAGUGGGGAAUUUUGGACAAUGGGCGAAAGCCUGAUCCAGCAAUGCCGCGUGUGUGAAGAAGGCCUUCGGGUUGUAAAGCACUUUUGUCCGGAAAGAAAACCUCGUGGUUAAUACCCGUGGGGGAUGACGGUACCGGAAGAAUAAGCACCGGCUAACUACGUGCCAGCAGCCGCGGU
rnacentral:rRNA from 1 species